GGGGAUUUAGCUUAGUGGAAAAGCACUUGCCUGGUAAGUCAAAGGUCCUGAGUUCAAUCCUCAGCUCUG
rnacentral:tRNA from 1 species